GUUUGAUUCUGGCUCAGAAUGAACGCUGGCGGCGUGCCUAACACAUGCAAGUCGUACGAGAAAGGGGCUUCGGCCCUGAGUAGAGUGGCGCACGGGUGAGUAACGCGUGGGUAAUCUCCCCUUGGAUUUGGGAUAACUCUGCGAAAGUGGAGCUAAUACCGGAUAGUCUGGCUUUAAUUGAUAAGUCGGUAAAGGAUGCCUCUGCAUAUGCAUUCGUCCAAGGAUGAGCCCGCGUCUCAUUAGCUAGUUGGUAGGGUAAAGGCCUACCAAGGCUACGAUCUGUAGUUGGUCUGAGAGGACGACCAGCCACACUGGGACUGAGACACGGCCCAGACUCCUACGGGAGGCAGCAGUGGGGAAUUUUGGACAAUGGGCGCAAGCCUGAUCCAGCAAUGCCGCGUGCAGGAAGAAGG
rnacentral:rRNA from 1 species